rnacentral:rRNA from 1 species
GUACACUCCUGCGGGAGGCAGCAGUGGGGAAUUUUGGACAAUGGGCGAAAGCCUGAUCCAGCAAUGCCGCGUGAGUGAAGAAGGCCUUCGGGUUGUAAAGCUCUUUUGUCAGGGAAGAAACGGUGAGAGCUAAUAUCUUUUGCUAAUGACGGUACCUGAAGAAUAAGCACCGGCUAACUACGUGCCAGCAGCCGCGGUAAUACGUAGGGUGCAAGCGUUAAUCGGAAUUACUGGGCGUAAAGCGUGCGCAGGCGGUUUUGUAAGUCUGAUGUGAAAUCCCCGGGCUCAACCUGGGAAUUGCAUUGGAGACUGCAAGGCUAGAAUCUGGCAGAGGGGGGUAGAAUUCCACGUGUAGCAGUGAAAUGCGUAGAUAUGUGGAGGAACACCGAUGGCGAAGGCAGCCCCCUGGGUCAAGAUUGACGCUCAUGCACGAAAGCGUGGGGAGCAAACAGGAUUAGAAACCCCUGUAGUCCCAUGA